CAACCCUCAAGCUCAGCUUGGUGUUGGGUGUUUGUCUCCUGUAGACUCGCCUUAAAACAAUUGGCAGCCGGCGUAUUGAUUUCGGAGCGCAGUACAUCUCGCGCUUUGCACUCAUAACGACGACAUCCAAAAGUACAUUUUUACAC
rnacentral:misc_RNA from 1 species